CCUACGGGCGGCAGCAGUGAGGAAUAUUGGUCAAUGGGCUUACGCCUGAACCAGCCAAGUCGCGUGAGGGAAGACUGCCCUAUGGGUUGUAAACCUCUGUCAGCAGGGAAGAACGGUCACUGUGCUAAUCAGCAGUGAAUUGACGGUACCUGCAAAGGAAGCACCGGCUAACUCCGUGCCAGCAGCCGCGGUAAUACGGAGGGUGCGAGCGUUAAUCGGAAUUACUGGGCGUAAAGCGCUCGUAGGCGGUAUGUCAAGUCAAGGGUGAAAUCCCCGCGGUAAACGUGGGAACUGCCUUUGAAACUGGCAAACUGGAGUGUGUGAGAGGAUAGUGGAGUUCCAGGUGUAGGAGGGAAAUCCGUAGAUAUCUGGAGGAACAUCAGUGGCGAAGGCGACUAUCUGGCACAUAACUGACGCUGAGGAGCGAAAGCGUGGGUAGCAAACAGGAUUAGAUACCCUUGUAGUC
rnacentral:rRNA from 1 species